GAUGAACGCUAGCGGCAGGCUCAACACAUGCAAGUCGAGGGGUAUAGGUUUUCGGACCUAGAGACCGGCGCACGGGUGCGUAACGCGUAUGCAAUCUACCUUUCACAGAGGGAUAGCCCAGAGAAAUUUGGAUUAAUACCUCAUAGUAUAGCAGUUUCGCAUGAAACCACUAUUAAAGUAUCAACGGUGAAAGAUGAGCAUGCGUCCCAUUAGCUAGAUGGUAAGGUAACGGCUUACCAUGGCUACGAUGGGUAGGGGUCCUGAGAGGGAGAUCCCCCACACUGGUACUGAGACACGGACCAGGCUCCUACGGGAGGCAGCAGUGAGGAAUAUUGGUCAAUGGACGCAAGUCUGAACCAGCCAUGCCGCGUGCAGGGUGACGGUCCUAUGGAUUGUAAACUGCUUUUGUACGAGAAGAAACAACAUUACGUGUAAUGUCUUGACGGUAUCGUAAGAAUAAGGAUCGGCUAACUCCGUGCCAGCAGCCGCGGUAACAC
rnacentral:rRNA from 1 species